CACCAAGAUGACAAUUGUUUCAAUAUACACACACACACUCGGACACUUGUUUGCAUGGAGAGCGGAAAGACUGAGAUAAUCUGCCCGGAGCGAGAAUCAAGUGUCAUUUUUUUUCUCAGUCUGCCACUGACGUUGGACCAAAAUAAAGACAAAUCAGACGGCCUCCGACUGCCAGCAGACCAACCCAAUCCGAACGCGACUAUUGCUUACCAGUUAUGAGGAUGUCUGGGACAUCCACCUCCGAACGCUCAAACUCCGAAGACAGCCCAUCGAAUCUCUGCCUGACGGAGGUGCUCAGGACUUGUGCCAACAUACAGUCGCUGGAGAGUCUCAACUACGAGUACAACGACGUCUACCUGACUGGACCCAGUGAGGGCAAGAUGAUAUCUCCGAAUCCGUACUUCAGCGGGAACAUCUCCACCAGCAGCUGUCCCAGUGAAGAUGUGUCCUUCACGGAGAGCAUUCUCGAAGACAACGGGCGUAUAUCGCUGGCAUAUGAGAACCUGAAGACCAUUCCACGGCGCCUGGCCGACAAGUUUGCGGCACAGACCAAGUUCCUCGAUUUGAGUCACAACGAUUUCCGAAAUCUCAAGUUUCUCUCAUUUUUCGAGGACCUGGACACACUCAUCCUGGACCGCAACGUAAACCUAGACCUCAACACCUUUCCCUAUUUGCCGAGCUUAAGGAUCUUGUGGAUCAACAACUGCGAUAUUGCCAACAUAACUGACUGGAUACACCGCAUCGAGCGGCAGUGUCCUUCACUGGAGCAGCUGUCUUGCAUGGGCAAUCCUGGUAUCCGCACAGUCUUUGGUAAUCAGGGACCUCGUGACUAUACCCUGCAGGUCCUGCCACACCUGAAAUACCUGGACGGACUGCCGGUUUGCCUGAGCAGCGGGAGUGGAGGGCACACGGAGCUCUCCUCGUCGCAGGGGCACGGUCAGGACUCCACCAGCAACUCAGAGAAGCAGCCCCGCUCUGCACCCGCCCUCACCUUCAAGAACUUCUUCCGAGUGAAACAUUCGAGGAAAUCGCGCAGUGGGCGGACCUACGGCAACGGCUCCUCCACAAACUGAAGUCCACUGGCGAUGGCGCUGGGUGGGAGGGGUAUUCUGUAGAUUGCAUUCUGUCCCAUUGUUGGACUAUUUUUAGCCGUCCGCUGGACUAUCAGCGCUGCCCUCGGAUGCCCUGCAGUCGUCGAUUGCACCUACAGUACGAUGCAUGGAAAUAUAUACACACACAUGCCAUGAACCGAGUGUGCGCGUAUGUGCAUAUGCAGAUGUAUGACGAUGUUGGACAUGCACGAGCCUAGUGAGAAUUAAUCUAGUGCAUUGAAGCAAUUUUUACAAUAAAGCGAGUCAAUGGACUCAUGAGACGAUCAACAGCGGGUAUAGUAUAAUAGCACCUAUCUUCUGAGUAAAUAUUGUGCUCGUUUUAACAGCAUUGUGAAUGCCGUUCAAUGUCCGAUUAAUGUUGCAUCAAUUCGUGGGCCAGAUUAAGUGUGCUCUUGUUUUCGAAAUGGAGGUCACCCAAAAAGAUAUAAAAUAAAAACUAUUUUUGCCUACCCAAUAUACUCAAGGCUAUAAAUCCGAACUCGAAGCCAUCACCAAUUCUUUAACAUCAAAAAAUACUAGCUUGUAUGCUUUGACAAUAAAAUAGUUGUUAACUCCCA